UGAUGAGCAGAAUAGACUUAUUUCAGAAACGAAAACAAAACAAUCAAUACAAUUGAUUUUUUUUUAUUAUUUUUUUUAUUAUUUUUUUUGAAUAUCAUGCUUAUAUCUAUAGCUAUAUGCUAACACCAGUAAUCUCUCGACAGGAGCGUUUCUGGCCGGCGUUCCCGUUCAGCCCGUCCUGCUUCAUUACCCCGGUGAACCGGACACGGUUCGCUGGACCUGGAAAGGACUGACGUGGUGAGAAGGAAUUUUUGUGCUGUUCAUAACUGACAAUAAUCAAUCAGAAUAAAUCGUUCUUCUAAGUCUAGCUGUCUGUGGGU
ensembl:lncRNA